rnacentral:rRNA from 1 species
GACAGGGGUCUCGAGCGUUAAUCGGAAUCACUGGGCUUAAAGGGUGCGUAGGCGGGUCUGUAAGUGUCCUGUGAAAUCCCCCGGCUCAACCGGGGAACUGCGGGGCAUACUGCGGGUCUUGAGGAAGGUAGGCGCCGAGGGAACAGUAGGUGGAGCGGUGAAAUGCGUAGAUAUCUACUGGAACGCCGAUGGUGAAGACGCUCGGCUGGGCCUUUCCUGACGCUGAGGCACGAAAGCGUGGGGAGCAAACAGG